AACGAACGCUGGCGGCGGGCUUAACACAUGCAAGUCGAGCGCCCCGCAAGGGGAGCGGCAGACGGGUGAGUAACGCGUGGGAAUCUACCCAUCUCUACGGAAUAACGCAUGGAAACGUGUGCUAAUACCGUAUACGUCCUUCGGGAGAAAGAUUUAUCGGAGAUGGAUGAGCCCGCGUUGGAUUAGCUAGUUGGUGGGGUAAAGGCCUACCAAGGCGACGAUCCAUAGCUGGUCUGAGAGGAUGAUCAGCCACACUGGGACUGAGACACGGCCCAGACUCCUACGGGAGGCAGCAGUGGGGAAUAUUGGACAAUGGGCGCAAGCCUGAUCCAGCCAUGCCGCGUGAGUGAUGAAGGCCCUAGGGUUGUAAAGCUCUUUCACCGGUGAAGAUAGUGACGGUAACCGGAGAAGAAGCCCCGGCUAACUUCGUGCCAGCAGCCGCCGUAACAC
rnacentral:rRNA from 1 species